rnacentral:rRNA from 1 species
GACGAACGCUGGCGGCGUGCUUAACACAUGCAAGUCGAACGGAAAGGCCCUGCUUUUGUGGGGUGCUCGGGGGGCGAACGGGGGAGUGACACGUGAGUAUCCUGCCCUUGACUUUGGGAUAACUUCAGGAAACUGGGCCUAAUCCCGUAUAGGAGCUGCUCCUGCAUGGAGGGGGUUGGAACGUUUCGGCGGUUGGGGAUGGACUCGCGGCUUAUCAGCUUGUUGGUUGGGUAGUGGUUGACCAAGGCUUUGACGGGUAGCCGGCCUGAGAGGGUGACCGGCGACAAUGGGACUGCGAUACGGCCCAGACUCCUACGGGAGGCAGCAGUGGGGAAUAUGGCACAAUGGGCGGAAGUCUGAUGCAGCAGCGCCGCGUGCGGGAUGACGGCCUGCGGGUUGUAAACCGCUUUCGCCUGUGACGAAGCGUGAGUGACGGUAAUGGGUAAAGAAGCACCGGCUAACUACGUG